rnacentral:rRNA from 1 species
UCUGGUCAGAACGAACGCUGGCGGCAGGCCUAACACAUGCAAGUCGAGCGAGAAGGGCUCGGCCUGAGUAGAGCGGCGCACGGGUGAGUAACACGUGAAUAAUCUGCCCCUAGACCGGGAUAACAGACCGAAAGGACUGCUAAUACCGGAUAAGCCCACGUCCCAACCGGGGAUGCGGGAAAAGCACGGGACCGCAAGGCCGUGCGCUUUGGGAUGAGUUCGCGUUCCAUUAGAUAGUUGGUGAGGUAAUGGCUCACCAAGUCGACGAUGGAUAGCUGGCUUAGAGGAUGAUCAGCCACACUGGAACUGAGACACGGUCCAGACUCCUACGGGAGGCAGCAGUGGGGAAUCUUGCGCAAUGGGGGAAACCCUGACGCAGCCAUGCCGCCGUGAGCGAUGAAGGCCUUCGGGUUGUAAAGCUCCGUCUAAGGGGACGAAUGGCGUCGUGAACAAGACACACGGCGAUUGACGGUACCCUUAAAGAAAACACCGGCUAACUCCGUGCCAGCCGCCGC